CAAUGCACAGAAUCACAAAAGAACUAUCCCUGAACAAGAAGCCAGACCCUGGUCUCAGCUCCGCUACUGAUCAGCUCAUCAGCGGGGGCAAACCAUUUCCCACUCUGGGAAGACAAAUGGAAACUGGAAAUGGGUGGAAUAACUUAAGCAAUAUGCUGGCUCUAGGAAUCCAGGCCAAGGCCAAAGACAGUCACAAUUUGUAGUGCCUCUGAGCCACAAAGAACCAAUAGCACUUCUCGUUAACCUUUCUACAGAAAUUCAGAGCUCCUGGAGCCACAUGAUGAGGCCCACAGGUUCAUGCAGACUUUCUUGGUCUACUCCUGAGCCUCACAGCAUACCUGAGGCACCGCAAAUGUGCAGGAUUGCAGUCUGGCAGUGGAGUGAGUAUAAGCCUCUAUAUAAACUCUGCUACAUGUGGGAGUAUGGACAUCUCUCUCAAGAGGAGCAUGGGAAGGAAGCGCAGCAGGGGCGCCAUCUAGGGACACUGCAAGGGCUUCAGGAAAGCCAUGACAUUGGAGUUGCCGGUGGUGGUGGUUAUGGUGGUGGUGAUGGUGGUGGUGGUGGUGGUGGUGGUUCUGUGGAGACUGGGGAAGGUAGGUGAAGAACAGCUGUGGAAGUCAAUGUCCCAAGACUAUACCUGGAGGAGUUGGGGAUGGCUUUAUACAUGGGGUGAGGCUUGAGAAAACAUGGCGCUCAUAAGGCCAAAAGACUUUGGUAGUGGUAAUAUUGGCUCACGUUUCCUUUCAGAUAGAUUGAAAACCAUGUGCAAAGGCAAAGGAGGUGAGAGAAAGCACUCAACCCCCAAGGAAAAUAGGCCGAGGCCAGAUCAAAAAGGUCUUUAAAUACGACACCAAAUGUCUCAACCUUCUUUCAGCUGAUGGUGUGGUGAGUGGUUCCAACACAAUACAUGCUUUGGCAACUAUUGUCACAUGCAGACAAUCUUGAGUCGCAUAACAUCUUGAC
rnacentral:lncRNA from 1 species